UACAGAGGGUGCAAGCGUUAAUCGGAAUUACUGGGCGUAAAGCGUGCGUAGGUGGUUCUUUAAGUCAGGUGUGUAAUCCCCGGGCUCAACCUGGGAACUGCAUUUGAUACUGAAGAGCUAGAGUGUGGUAGAGGAUAGUGGAAUUCCCGGUGUAGCGGUGAAAUGCGCAGAUAUCAGGAAGAACACCCGUGGCGAAGGCGGCUCUCUGGGACGGUACUGACGCUGAGACGCGAAAGCGUGGGGAGCGAACAGG
rnacentral:rRNA from 1 species